GUACACACCGCCCGUCGCUACUACCGAUUGAAUGGCUUAGUGAGGCCUCCGGAUUGGCUUGAGCAAUCUUGUCGAGAAGUUGGUCAAACUUGGUCAUUUAGAGGAAGUAAAAGUCGUAACAAGGUAACCGUAGGUGAACCUGCAGAAGGAUCA
rnacentral:rRNA from 1 species